rnacentral:rRNA from 1 species
UACGAAGGGAGCAAGCGUUGUUCGGAAUUACUGGGCGUAAAGGGCUCGUAGGCGGCCAACUAAGUCAGACGUGAAAUCCCUCGGCUUAACCGGGGAACUGCGUCUGAUACUGGAUGGCUUGAGAUUGGGAGAGGGAUGCGGAAUUCCAGGUGUAGCGGUGAAAUGCGUAGAUAUCUGGAGGAACACCGGUGGCGAAGGCGGCAUCCUGGACCAACACUGACGCUGAGGAGCGAAAGCCAGGGGAGCAAACGGG